UAAAGACUUCUCGUAGUCUGGAUGCCUACAAUUACUUCCUUAGCGGAAAAGUCGGGAACAUUUGAUCAUACAAUGUGGAUGAUAUUUAUCUUGUUCUUGGUGAGGAUUGGUCAUCCGUUGGAUUCGUUGCUAAGUUUAUUAAUAGCAUUUAUUUUUCCACAUCAACAAGACAUUCCACACCUUCCGUUAUAGGAUGCCAGUGUCUUGUUGCUAUACGGGGGACAGACGCCGGGAAGCGCCCUGAUUGGCCAGUGGCGCCCCGCAAGCCAUGUGGGCCCCGUGCGCGCCUCCAUUUGCAUACAGCUGUACUGUAGUUGUAAUGCGGCCCGCGGAGAACAAAAGGAGAAGCAAAACCGGACAAUGAGCCGCUCCGCAGUCCGCCCCGAGAUUUUAUACAGGAGUUUGCUGAAAAGGAGACUCGAGUGUACAGGAGGAGGGGGCGCAUUGUAAAGCCGCAAAUUGUGAUCAAUUAGGAGGGGCUGACAGCGGUUACGCAAGUUGCCAAGAUGCCCGUUGUUGUGGAAUUCUUUUUUUUUUUUUUUGGAUUCCGGUGAUGAAGAGCCCGAAGGAGGGCUUAAAGCCUUACAGAGGAAUGGUAUAAUCUUAAAGGGGGGAAAAUGUUCCUCAGAGGGGUUUUUGGAUGGUCUUUGUUUCGCACAUGCACUGAGCUCUUUUUGAUAUUGGGAAUCCCUCUGGUGUGUAUGGUGCCAAAAGAAAGUACAUUCUAACAAAACGUGUUUGUUAAAAAAAUGUUUGGAAAUCUUUUAUUUUUUGCAACAUAAAGUUAAAAGGUAAAACUAAACUUAUUCUUAGUGUCUUUAUGUUGUUUUGCAAAAGGACUGAGAAUUUCAAACUUAUGUUGAGUGCAAUAUAAAGACAUUUAGAGACUUUCUGACUAAAACAUUCUGCUGUCAACAAUCAACAUAAAACUAUCACUUAAAAAAAAUGCUGACUAUGUGAACAGCAAAAAGAAUAAAUCAGUAAAUCAAUAAACAAAUACAAACCCUUUAACUGAAUACAUCAGGUGGUUACUUGUAAAAACAUAAAAUAUGUGGCCAAACGUAGUGAAUUUUAUUCCCACACUGUAAAUUAUAAAUUCUCACUAAAACUACUGACUUAAAAUAUCAAGUUAGUUUAAUGAAUCAAUUUCAGUUUAUCUACUCUUAAAAGGUUUACAAUGUUACUAAAGAUGAGCAAAAUUGCUUUAUUCAUUUAAUUCAACCACCAGUGCUCUAUUUUGUACCACAAACAUGCAAAAUAUUUAUUCCUUACAUGGGUUUUAAACUUCUAUUUGACCCUAUUGAGACUUUUAGGUGCAAUUAGUUUCCACAUGUUUUUACAGUGGUCGUUUUAAGUAGUAAUACAAAAUGCACUCAACACAAGUUUAAAAUUCCCAGUCAUAUUUUGGAAAACAAUAUAAACAAAGUAAGAAAACAAAUUCUUUCUUAAUAACAUAACAAAAUAUCAAGUUAGUUAAAUUACUUAAAUUCAGUUUAUAUACACUUACAUUUUUACUGAUGGAACUUAAGGUUUAAUAGUAAAAUAGGAAAAUUAUGUGCAGUGGGUUUCCACAAGACUUCCUGAUUCUUGAUCAUUCUGCUAUCAACAAUCAACCAGAAUAACUGAACCUGCACUGUAUAAAAGUUACAGAACAUUCUUAGAACAGAUACAAGCAGCAAAAAAAAAUGUAUUUUAAAACACUGACUUUUUCUAUUUUCACACAAUGCACCAUGUAGUUUCUUGUAAAAACAUACAAUAUGUGCACAAACAUAGCACACCUGACUUUUCCAGCGUAUGUGGUUGUUCCCCUGUUACCACAAAGUUGGUGGCACACAAUUGACUUCCUUAGAUGAAAUAGAAGGACUAACAAUAUUCCCUUCUCUUGAAUGAGGAGACCCAAACAUUUUCCAAGCAUGACAAUAUCCCUGUAGGAGCUUUACAGUUUCAAUAAAACUUGUUGCUAUUUGUUAUUUCCAUUUUAGUUCUUUAUUUAAUUAUUUAUACAAAAUGGGGUUUAUAAUUAAUCAGUAAUUAAGAUAAGGGUUUAGGGGUAAAGAUCUUUUUUGCUUAUGGCUUUGAUGGAAUCUUGGUGCAACUCAAACUGUUGGCCCAUGUUUAUCAAAAGACCAUUAGUAAAUAAAAGAGCAAAAAUCA